CCAGACUCCUACGGGAGGCAGCAGUGGGGGAUAUUGCACAAUGGGGGGAACCCUGAUGCAGCGACGCCGCGUGGGUGAAGAAGUAUUUCGGUAUGUAAAGCCCUAUCGGCAGGGAAGAAAUUGGACGGUACCUGACUAAGAAGCCCCGGCUAACUACGUGCCAGCAGCCGCGGGAAUACGUAGGGGGCAAGCGUUAUCCGGAUUUACUGGGUGUAAAGGGAGCGUAGACGGUUGUAUAAGUCUGGAGUGAAAGCCCGGGGCCCAACCCCGGGACUGCUUUGGAAACUGUGUAACUUGAGUACAGGAGGGGCAGGCGGAAUUCCUGGUGUAGCGGUGAAAUGCGUAGAUAUCAGGAGGAACACCGGCGGCGAAGGCGGCCUGCUGGACUGAAACUGACGUUGAGGCUCGAAAGCGUGGGGAGCAAACAGGAUUAGAUACCCGCGUACA
rnacentral:rRNA from 1 species